rnacentral:misc_RNA from 1 species
AAGUCGUAACAAGGUAACCGUAGGUGAACCUGCGGUUGGAUCAUUAAAAAAUGUUUGGUCUUGUACCAAAUGAACACCUGUGUGCACCAAAUGACUGUUUUUGGUAGUUCGAGUUGCUCCUCGGGACUCAACACCCCGAGGUGCCUACCGCUGCCCGAUUAGGUGGACUGGCUUUACAACCUGGGCACCGUCAUUGGGCAACGCGCGGUUGGGCUACCGACCAUUUGAACAAACAUUUUGAUUUUUUUGUCUGAACUUUUAAGAUUUAAUCUUUGAUGAUUAAUGAUUAAUUACAACUUUUGACAACGGAUCUCUUGGCUCUC